CAGGAAACGAGUCCCCGGACUCCCCAAACCCCACGAACCUACCAUGUUUUUGUACUGCCUCGGCGGGCGGCCCCAGGGGGGGAUGGCCACCGCCCGCCGAAGGCACACCCCCAAACCUAGUCGUCUAUAUGUCUUUUCUGAAUACCGCGCCCCUCGGGGCGAACCCUUCA
rnacentral:misc_RNA from 1 species